rnacentral:rRNA from 1 species
AUGCUGGAGCUGAGCCGCCGCCUGGCGCGCACGGCCUCCGCCUCACGUUCGUCUCCACCCGCCACGUGCUCUCCUCCACCCCGCCCCCGGCGAGCCCUUCCGCGAGGCCGCCAUCUUCGACGGGUUCGACGCUGGCGGCUUCGUCUCGUGCCCGGACCCCGCCGAGUACUUCUCCCGGCUGGAGGCCGUGGGGCCCGAGGCGCUGCGUGA